GGGGGGAGCACCAGAUCCUGGGCUGUGUUCCCCGGUGCCUUGGGCUACGGGGCCUGCCUCGCUGGGAUCAUGCUCCUGGAGCUGCACAGCCCCCU
rnacentral:pre_miRNA from 1 species